GCCGGGUAUGGUGGCACACGCCUGUAAUCCCAGCUACUUGGGAGGCUGAGGCAGGAGAAUCACUUGAACCCAGGAGGCUGAGGUUGUAGUGAGCUGAGAUCGAGCCACUGCACUCCAGCCUGGGCGACAGAGUGAGACUCUGACUCAA
rnacentral:SRP_RNA from 1 species